UGAGGACCCAUGUUGGUGGUGCUGUAUGGAGGCUCUUUGUUCUACAGUCCCUGACAAGCCUGGCCUUCCAGCCAUCUCUGCCAAUGCACUAGAUAUGUGAGAGGAGCCAUAUAGAUUAAGCCAGAUAUGAUGGCUCUGAUAGUGGGAGAGGGAAUAACUUUGAGAGGAGACAAUGGAUGGAAGGAAUAGACACUGAUUUGGAACUUACUUUGAUGUUUUAGGCAAGAGACAAUGCAGAUGUUGGGAUGACCCAGGGGCCUAAGAGGAUUUUAUCUGACUGCUAAUCAACACUGCACCCUUGCUGGCUUCCAUGGAUCCUGAAAGUUCUUUUAGCAUCACAGAGAUGAAAAAGACCUUAUGUCCUCACAGGCUGCACAGAAUGUACAUUCUUUUAUUAGGCAGAUAAAUGAUGAAGGACAACAAGUUUCAAAGAGCCAAAGGCAAUUUUUGCUUAAUAGUAACAACUACCAACUGAUAUUAAAU